rnacentral:rRNA from 1 species
CAGCCGCCGCGGUAAUACGCAGGGUGCGAGCGUUAAUCGGAAUUACUGGGCGUAAAGCGUGCGCAGGCGGUUCGUUAAGACAGGUGUGAAAUCCCCGGGCUUAACCUGGGAACUGCAUUUGUGACUGGCGAGCUAGAGUAUGGCAGAGGGGGGUGGAAUUCCGCGUGUAGCAGUGAAAUGCGUAGAUAUGCGGAGGAACACCGAUGGCGAAAGCAGCCCCCUGGGCCAAUACUGACGCUCAUGCACGAAAGCGUGGGGAGCAAACAGGAUUAGAGACCCCAGUAGUCCCUGUCUCUUAUAC